rnacentral:rRNA from 1 species
UCCGGAGGGGGCUAGCGUUGUCCGAAGUUACUGGGCGUAAAGCGCGCGUAGGCGGGUUGGUAAGUCCGCUGUGAAAGCCCGGAGCUCAACUCCGGAGGGUCGGUGGAUACUGCCAGUCUUGAAGGUGCUAGGGGGAGAUGGAAUUACCGGUGUAGCGGUGAAAUGCGUAGAUAUCGGUAGGAACACCAGUGGCGAAGGCGGUCUCCUGGGGCAUUCUUGACGCUGAGGCGCGAAAGCUGGGGGAGCAAACGGG